rnacentral:rRNA from 1 species
ACGAACGCUGGCGGUGUGCUUAACCCAUGCAAGUCGAACGGUAAGGCCCUUUCGGGGGUACACGAGUGGCGAACGGGUGAGUAACACGUGAGUAACCUGCCCUCAUCUCUGGGAUAACAGUCGGAAACGGUUGCUAAUACUGGAUAUGAGCUUGCAAGGCAUCUUGUGGGUUGGAAAGAUUUUUUUUGGUUGGGGAUGGACUCGCGGCCUAUCAGCUUGUUGGUGAGGUAGUGGCUCACCAAGGCUUCGACGGGUAGCCGGCCUGAGAGGGCGACCGGCCACAUUGGGACUGAGAUACGGCCCAAACUCCUACGGGAGGCAGCAGUGGGGAAUAUUGCACAAUGGACGGAAGUCUGAUGCAGCAACGCCGCGUGCGGGAUGACGGCCUUCGGGUUGUAAACCGCUUUCAAUUGUGACGAAGCUUUUUUGUGACGGUAGCAGUAGAAGAAGCACCGGCUAACUACGUG